rnacentral:rRNA from 1 species
GACGAACGCUGGCGGCGUGCUUAACACAUGCAAGUCGAACGCUGAGGCUUGGUGCUUGCUCUGUGUGCAUGAGUGGCGAACGGGUGAGUAACACGUGUGUAACCUGCCUUUGACUCUGGGAUAAGCCGGGGAAACUGGGUCUAAUACUGGAUACGAUAUUCCACCGCAUGGUGGUUUGUGGAAAGGCUUUUGCUGGUUUUGGAUGGGCUCACGGCCUAUCAGCUUGUUGGUGGGGUAGUGGCCUACCAAGGCGACGACGGGUAGCCGGCCUGAGAGGGUGACCGGCCACACUGGGACUGAGACACGGCCCAGACUCCUACGGGAGGCAGCAGUGGGGAAUAUUGCACAAUGGGCGGAAGCCUGAUGCAGCGACGCCGCGUGCGGGAUGACGGCCUUCGGGUUGUAAACCGCUUUCAGCUGGGAAGAAGCGAGAGUGACGGUACGUGCAGAAGAAGCACCGGCUAACUACGUG